rnacentral:rRNA from 1 species
UACGUAGGUGGCGAGCGUUGUCCGGAUUUAUUGGGUUUAAAGGGUGCGUAGGCGGCUUUGUAAGUCAGUGGUGAAAUACUCCAGCUUAACUGGAGGGGUGCCAUUGAUACUGCGGAGCUUGAGUACAGAUGAGGUAGGCGGAAUUGACGGUGUAGCGGUGAAAUGCAUAGAUAUCGGGAGGAACACCGGGUGGCGAAGGCGGCGAUCUGGGUCGAUACUGACGCUGAGGUGCGAAAGCGUGGGGAGCAAACAGG